rnacentral:rRNA from 1 species
CACCGCGGUUAUACGAGAGGCCCUAGUUGAUAACUACCGGCGUAAAGAGUGGUUAUGGAAAGAUAUUUAAUAAAGCCGAACACCCCCUCAGCCGUCAUACGCACCUGGGAGCACGAAGACCUACCGCGAAAGCAGCUUUAAUUACGCCUGACCCCACGACAGCUAAGAAA